rnacentral:rRNA from 1 species
GCAACUGGGAAUCUUGGGCAAUGGGCGAAAGCCUGACGCAGCGACGCGAGGUGAGGGAAGGAGCCGUUUGGAAUGUUAACCUGUUGGGAAGGGGAGAAGUAGGAGAUAGUACCCGUUUAAAAAGCCAUGGCUAACUACGUGCCAGCAGCCGAAGUAAUAGGUAGGUGGCGAGCUUUGUCCGGAAUUACUGGGAGUAAAGGGUGGGUAGGCGGCUUGGUAAGUUGAGCGUGAAAUUUUUGGGCUCAAACAAAAGGAGCGUUCAAGACUGGCAAAGUGAGGAGGGAGAGGAGGACGGAAUUCUGGGGGGAGAGGUGAAGUGGUUAGAUGUAGCGACAGUGGCGAAGGCGGCCGUGGGACCGUAACUGACGCUGGAGCUAGGAAGCGUGGGAGCCAAACUGCGAUUAGAUGCCUGGUCAGUCACGCAGUAAACGAUGGAUGCGAGGUGUGGGAGAGAAGAACUCUUCUGGGCCGUACUAUACACAAUAAAGCAUCCCGCCUGGGGAGUAGGGGCGCAAAGGUUGAAACUCAAAAGAAUUGACCGGGGCCCCCGCCCAAGCGGUGGAGCAUGUGUUUUAAUUCGAAGGAAAGCGAAGAACCUUCCCAGGGCUUGCCAUGCCGGGAACCUUUCUGAAAGGAGGGGGGUGCCUGACCGAGGAGGGUAGGAACCCGGACACAGGUGGUGCAUGGUUGUCGUCAGCUCGUGUCGUGAGAUGUUGGGUUAAGUCCCGCAACGAGCGCAACCCCUUCCCUUAUUUGCCAGCGGGCAGAGCCGGGCAUUUUAAGGGGACUGCCGCCGAUGAGGCGGAGGAAGGUGGGGAUGACGUCAAAUCAUCAUGCCCCUUAUGCCCUGGGCUACACACGUGCUACAAUGGGUGCUACAGAGGGCAGCGAAGGCGCGAGCUGGAGCGAAUCCCAAAAAAGCCCCCCCAGUUGGGAUUGCAGGCUGCAAUUCCCCUCCAGGAAUUGGGAAUGCUUAUUAUCGCGGGACCGCAAUCCGCGGGGAAUACGUUCCCGGGCCUUGUACACACCGCCCGUCACACCAUGAGAGUCAGCAACACCUGAAGACACAGGGCAUCUGUGUUGAAGGUGGGGCUGAUGAUUGGGGU